rnacentral:rRNA from 1 species
UACGAAGGGGGGCUAGCGUUGCUCGGAAUCACUGGGCGUAAAGCGCACGUAGGCGGCUUCUUAAGUCAGGGGUGAAAUCCUGGAGCUCAACUCCAGAACUGCCUUUGAUACUGGCGAUCUCGAGUCCGGGAGAGGUGAGUGGAACUGCGAGUGUAGAGGUGAAAAUUCGUAGAUAUUCGCAAGAACACCAGUGGCGAAGGCGGCUCACUGGCCCGGUACUGACGCUGAGGUGCGAAAGCGUGGGGAGCAAACAGG